GAGUUUGAUCGUGGCUCAGAUUGAACGCUGGCGGCAUGCCUAACACAUGCAAGUCGAACGGCAGCACUGGGAGCUUGCUCCCUGGUGGCGAGUGGCGGACGGGUGAGUAACGCGUAGGAAUCUGCCUCAUAGCGGGGGACGAACUCGGGGAAACGUCGAGCUAAUACCGCAUACUACUCGAGAGAGGAAAGCAGGGGACCGUUCGGGCC
rnacentral:rRNA from 1 species